CAUUUCUAGCUUGCUAGAAGAUGACGAGCGGCGGACGGGUGAGUAAUGCUUGGGAACAUGCCUUGAGGUGGGGGACAACCAUUGGAAACGAUGGCUAAUACCGCAUAAUGUCUACGGACCAAAGGGGGCUUCGGCUCUCGCCUUUAGAUUGGCCCAAGUGGGAUUAGCUAGUUGGUGAGGUAAAGGCUCACCAAGGCGACGAUCCCUAGCUGGUUUGAGAGGAUGAUCAGCCACACUGGAACUGAGACACGGUCCAGACUCCUACGGGAGGCAGCAGUGGGGAAUAUUGCACAAUGGGCGCAAGCCUGAUGCAGCCAUGCCGCGUGUGUGAAGAAGGCCUUCGGGUUGUAAAGCACUUUCAGUCAGGAGGAAAGGUUAGUAGUUAAUACCUGCUAGCUGUGACGUUACUGA
rnacentral:rRNA from 1 species